rnacentral:rRNA from 1 species
CUAGUUGUAUUAAUUAUUAGUUAAUGCAAGAUCGACUAUGUCGACUAAAGUUCUAGGUAGAAUAAUGAUGAUGACAAUUUUCUACCUAUAUGUCUUGACCAAAUCUCGUGCCAGCAGUCGCGGUAAUACGUGAAAGACUAGUGUUAUUCAUCUUUAAUAGGUUUAAAGGGUACCUAGACGGUAUUUUUAGCCCAAAACAGGGUACGGACUUACUAGAGUUUUAUGUGAGAAGGGGAGUACUUGUAGAGUAGAGAUGAAAUUUUGUGAUACUAUGAGGAAACUGGUGGCGGCGUAAGCAACCUUCUAUGUAUAAACUGACGUUGAGGGACGAAGGCUUGGGUAGCAAAUAGGAUUAGAUACCCUAGUAGUCCAAGCAGACAAUUCUGAAUGCCAUAGAUUAGAUUAUUUUUGGUCUAUAAAUGAAAGUGUAAGCAUUCCACCUUAGGAGUAAUGUGGCAACACAGGAACUGAAAUCAUUAGACCGUUUCUGAAACCAGUAGUGAAGUAUGUUAUUUAAUUUGUUAGUCCUCAAAAAACCUUACCACAACUUGAAUGUUAUUAAAUUAAUACAAGCGUUGCACGGCUGUCUUCAGUUAAUGUCGUGAGAUUUUGGUUAACUCCAUUAAUUAACGUAAACCCUUACUUUA